rnacentral:rRNA from 1 species
GAUGAACGCUGACAGAAUGCUUAACACAUGCAAGUCAUUGGCGAAGCUGCGCUUGCGCAGUCUAGCCAAGGCGGACGGGUGAGUAACGCGUAAGGAACUUGCCCUGCAGACAGGGAUAACAAACGGAAACGACUGAUAACACCUGGUAUUGUCAGGCUGGCGCAUGCCGGCCUGAUGAAAGGAGACGCUGCAGGAGAGCCUUGCGUCCUAUUAGCUAGUUGGUGGGGUAACGGCCCACCAAGGCGAUGAUAGGUAGCCGGCCUGAGAGGGUGAACGGCCACAAGGGGACUGAGAUACGGCCCUUACUCCUACGGGAGGCAGCAGUGGGGAAUAUUGGACAAUGGGGGCAACCCUGAUCCAGCAAUUCUGUGUGCACGAAGAAGGUUUUCGGAUUGUAAAGUGCUUUCAGCAGGGAAGAAGAAAGUGACGGUACCUGCAGAAGAAGCGACGGCUAAAUACGUG